CUCAUCUCAGCAGGAAAGGCUAUCAAGAACAAAGAAGAAAUUUUGGCCCUGCUUGAAGCUGUUUGGCUCCCUCAACAGCUGGCUGUAAUUCACUGCAAAUGACAUCAAAAAGAAGACAUGGCCAUUGCCUGUGGUAACCAAAGAGCAGACUCUGCAGCCUGGGAGGCAGCUCAACUCCCAGUCACGCCUCUGACUCUGCUGCCUGCAGUGUCCUUUCCGCAACCUGACUUACCAGAUCACCCAGAAUACUCCCCAGAGGAGGAAAAAUAGGCUUUGGAUCUUCAGGCCAGUAAAAAUCAGGAAGAUUGGUGGAUUCUUCCUGAUUCCGGAAUCUUCAUACCCCAAGCUCUCGGGGAAACUUUAAUCAGUCGUCUGCAUUCUACCACCCAUUUAGAAGGAGGAAACCUGGCCCAGCUUCUAAGGAGCCGUUUCAAGAUCCCCCACCUUCAGGACUUAGCGAACCAAGCAGCUUGUGCCCAGGUGAACGCCAAGCAAGGUCCUAAACCCAGCUCAGGCCACCGCCUCCGGGGAGGCUCGCCAGGAGAAGUCUCUCCAACAGGUACAAGACAUCAUCCAGCCGCUUGUCCGGGGAGCUCAUCCCAACCCAGUUCCUGACCAGACGGGGCUCUGCCACUCUUUCCAGCCGGGUGACCUGGUGUAUGUUAAAAAGUUCCAAAAGAAAAAAAAAAAGGACUCACUCCUGCCUGGAAAAGACCUCAUACUGUCAUCCUCACCACACUGACGGCUCUGAAAGUGGACAGCAUUCCUGCUCAAAUUCAUAACACCCCCUAGUACCAAAGCAUGUUUAACUGUAAUCCAUGACUAACUACUCUAAUUACUGGAUUGGCGGGACCCCUUUCUCCUCCUCUUGUUUAGUCUUCAAACCUCGUAAGUUAAAACUGGUUUCUUAACUUUAUAAAGCAACACAUAGCUUCUGUCAAACUUAUAUAUCUUAAAGUCCAAUAUAACCCUCUUGUAACAAGUGGGGAAUAUGAUAUGCUACCUUGUUUUAACCUGAAUUGAGUCUCCCUUAGCUGAGAGAGCCAGACAAACUCCAUUUUGGCUCCUUCACUUGCAGCUCCUUGCCCACCCAAUUCCUCAAGGACUUAACUUGUGCAAGCUGACUCCCAGCACAUCAGAGUGCAAUUAACUGAUAAGGUCCUGUGGCAAGUUAUGUCCGCAGUUCCCAGGAAUUCGCUCGGGUGAUAGUAUCCUAAGCCCCUGCAUUUGUAUCCAGUAGAUAGCACCCAAAGCCCUUGCACCCAUCACCUUGUGAUGGAUUUAAAGCCCCUGCACCUGGAACCAUUUGUUUUCCUGUAACCAUUUGUCUAACUUUUUUUUGCCUGUUUUACUUCUAUAAGAUUGCUAUAGCUAGGCUCCCCUUCCCCUCUCUAAACCAAAGUAUAAAAGAAAAUCUAGCCCCUUCUUCAGGGCUGAGAGAAUUUUGAGCGCUAGCCGUCUCUCGAUCGCUGGCUAAUAAAGAACUCCUGAAUUAGUCUCAAAGUGUGGCGUUC
rnacentral:lncRNA from 1 species